GCCAGUAACAAAGCCUUCUUGCAGCACACUGAGCCCUCUCCAUAUGCCAUGCAGCAUGUUAGGAACUUUCUGCAAUAUGUGGCAAAUCCUCACAAAAGCUUGUAGGGAAGAUUUUCUUUUCAGUGUUGUGCAGAGGUGAAAAAUAGAGGCUUAGCUAGAUUGAGCGACUGGCCCAAGUUCCCACAGUUAGUGAGGGGGGAGUUGAGUCAAGGGCAGACCUAUGUGUUCGCUUAGGCCAGCUGGAAUAAGAAUGUGAUACCACAGUAGGAACCGUGAAGAGCCAAAGCCAAGGACUGGUGUGCAGUUCUGCAGCUUUUUCUGGAGGUGCAGCCUGAGGCUGGCUUAGCUUUUCCUGAAGGAAGGAGGGACCGCUGUAUAAUCCAAGGCAAAGAGGGUGACAAAUACAAAGUGAAAUGAAGAAAGAUAAAAGGAUCUGCAAAGAUUUCAGAGUAUGUGACCCAAAGAAGAAAAAGCUGAGAAACUAGUUAAUAUCUUCAAGUCUGUGAAGGCCUAUGACAAAGCGCAAGUGGGGACCAGCUGUUACUAAUCUUUCCAGAGGUAACUAAAGAAGUUAUGGGCUUAAAUUAAAGAAGGAAUUUAAGAUUUUUUACCAUCAGCAUCCUGACUGUGAAGAUUUUUACCAACUAGGAGGGACUAGAAUAGCACAGGCUCACCUGCCUUGAAUUUUGAAGAAUGUUACAUUUGUCUAUUGUCUUGUACAAACCAUCUCAAAACUUCACAGAGUAGAAGAAGCAAAUGCCAUUUUAUAAUGCACAUGGAUGCUGUGGGUCAGGAAUUCAGAUAGGGCUCAGCAAGAAUGUCUUGUUCCAGCUACAUGAUGGCUGAGGCUUCAGUUGGGAGGAUUUGAAAGGCUGGGAGUAACUUACAUGGUGGGCCUGGAUUCAUCUGUAGGUUUCUUCAUUCACAUGUCAAAUGCUGGGGUUAUGUCUUUCUAUGGAGUGUCAAGACCUCUCCAUGUCAUUAUUGCACAUGGCUUCUCCAACUUGGCAGCCUCAGGGUAGUUGGACAUCUUACAUGUGACUCAGGGCCCCAAAAGCAAAUGCAAAGGAAAGUAGUCAGAAUCCUGUCUAGACUCCAGGGGAGGGAAUACAGAUGUUACCUCUCAAUGGAAGAGUGUCAAAUAAUUUAUGGCUAUGUUUGAAAACCAUCACAAAGAACUGCCUGUAAUUCAUUUACUUAUUCAACCAACCAGCACUGAUUAAGCACAGAUACCAGAUCUAGUCUGAGAAAACUAAGAAGAAUUUAGCAUGUCCCUGCUUGCCUUUAGGAGUUCAUGGUCUGUUUGUAGUGGAGAAGGUAACCCAGAGUCCAGGUGAUACACUUGGAGAGGACCUGGUGAAGUCCAUAGGGUUUUCUGCCAAUAAAGCCCUCCUCUCUGGGACUGAACACUCUAGGGAAAAAUUCCUCUGAAUCCAACUAAGCUAGCAAUAAGCACUUUUUUAAUUUGUUUCUGUUCCUACAUUUUGACUUGUGCUUUCUGGAUUGUGGGCACUGGGAUUCCUAAUCUUUAACAAUGACUCUCAUUCUAAAUGCAAACAGAAGGAGAAAGUGACAGCAUGGCCGAGUGCAAUAUAUUCUAAUGCAGUAACAUGCUGACACUGGUUGGGCAAAUGGAGCUGCAUUAAACAAAUGUGUUUGCUUAACCCUUCCCAGGAGGGCCUGGAAGUUUCAUAUCAUGAAGUUGCACAGUUCAUGCCUCUCUCAGGGUCCACCUAGGAGAGGCUGGGCAGCACCAUUUCAGCUCAGUAGACGUGUGAGCAGCAGCCCGUUUAUGGGCUUUCAUGGGAAUAUACUAGUUUAGCUAGAGUGACUUUUAAUCAUUUCUUUUAUGUUCUCCAGCUUUUAAAUUUUUCACAGGACAGACCAUACAAUUAAGCAACCUCAAACCAGCCUCCUGCUGCCACUAUAUAAAAUAACUUCGUGACUGAAAUUGGCUCCAUUGUCUAGUUGAUCACUUGAUUCAGAAUGAAUUUGCUGCUUGUUCUGUCUCUCCCCAUCCGCCCUCUUUGGCACAGUGAAGGAUUGAAUGGGCUCAGUUCACCUUCCCGCUCAGUAGUAGGGUUUUAUUUCCUUUGCUUUUCUUGGUCAGGGCCAGAGGAGGUAGCCCUCCACUGCUGGCUGUGAAGUGUUCUCUGUCCAGAUAAUCAUUUAUCCAAAACCUCCCUCCUCUGACCUGAACAAAAUGUCCACCAUUAAUUGUGAUCUGAAAGUCUUGUGGCAUAGCCUCUAGAUGGUUCAGUGAAAAUCAAACUUCCUCUGGUUAUGUGCAUUAACUGAUGAACAAUAGUGGCUGUAAUAAUCAUUUAUUGAA